rnacentral:rRNA from 1 species
GACGAACCGUGCGAACGUUAUUCGGAAUCACUGGGCUUAAAGCGCGUGUAGGCGGGAGGGCACGUCCGUUGCUGAAAUCCCCCGGCUCAACCGGGGAACGGGCGCGGAUACGACUCUCCUCGAGGGGCGUAGGGGGACCUGGAACUUCCGGUGGAGCGGUGAAAUGCGUUGAGAUCGGAAGGAACGCCCGUGGCGAAAGCGAGGUCCUGGACGCCUACUGACGCUGAGACAGCAA